GGGUUGUUAGCUCAGCGGUAGAGCGUUACGUUGACAUCGUAAAGGUCACUGGUUCGACACCAGUACAACCCACCA
rnacentral:tRNA from 1 species